UUGACCUCAAAUCAGGUAGGACUACCCGCUGAACUUAAGCAUAUCAAUAAGCGGAGGAAAAGAAACUAACAAGGAUUCCCUUAGUAACUGCGAGUGAAGUGGGAAAAGCUCAAAUUUGAAAUCUGGCAGUUCUUGACUGUCCGAGUUGUAAUCUAGAGAAGUGUUACCAGUGCUGGACCAUGUACAAGUCUUCUGGAAUGGAGUAUCAUAGAGGGUGAGAAUCCCGUCUUUGACAUGGACUACCAGUGCAGUAUGGUGUGCUCUCAAAGAGUCGAGUUGUUUGGGAAUGCAGCUCAAAAUGGGUGGUAAAUGCCAUCUAAAGCUAAAUAUUGGCGAGAGACCGAUAGUGAACAAGUACCGUGAGGGAAAGAUGAAAAGAACUUUGGAAAGAGAGUUAAACAGUACGUGAAAUUGCUGAAAGGGAAACGCUUGAAGUCAGUCACAUUGGCUAGAAAUCAGCCUUGCUUUUGCUGGGUGUUUUUUCUUGCUUAAUGGGUCAGCAUCAAUUUUGACUGCUGGAUAAAGUCUUUGGGAAUGUGGCAUCUUUGGAUGUGUUAUAGCCCAUUGUUGCAUACAGUAGUUGGGAUUGAGGAACUCAGCAUGCCACAAGGCCAGGUAUUAAACCAUGUUCAUGCUUAGGAUGCUGGCAUAAUGGCUUUAAUUGACCCGUCUUGAAACACGGACCAAGGAGUCUAACAUGCUUGCGAGUGUUUGAGUGGAAAACUCAUUCGCAUAAUGAAAGUGAAAGUCGAGAUCUUCAUUUGAUGAGCAUCGAUGCCCGGACCAGACCUUUUGUGAC
rnacentral:rRNA from 1 species